ensembl:lncRNA
AAAAAAAAGAGUCCAAACUGCAUUGUGGUCAAUUUUUUGAAAAGAAAAACAGUAAAGUGUGAAAGAGAAAGAGGAAAAUUGCAAAGUGUGAGAAAAAAGCAAAGAGAGGAAAGAGGAAAAAGAACUAAGUGUGAAAAAAACAAAGUGUAAGAGGACAGAGGAAAAAGAACAAAGUGUGAAAAUAGCAAAGUGUGAGACAAGAGGAAGAAGAACACUGCUUUCCUCAUGUGUUUGUUUGUUUGUUUGUUUGUUUCAGAUGCUGAGAGACCAAGCGGUGGACGUCCAGAGAACAGAGAUGCUGAGAGAGCAAGCGGUGGACGUCCAGAGAGCAGAGAUGCUGAGAGAGCAAGCGGUGGACGUCCAGAGAACAGAGAUGCUGAGAGACCCAGCGGUGGACGUCCAGAGAACAGAGAUGCUGAGAGACCAAGCGGUGGACGUCCAGAGAGCAGAGGUGAGUUGCACAUUGUCAUCCAUUGCACACAGUAGACUUUGCUGCUUUCCUCAUGUGUUUGUUUGUUUGUUUGUUUGUUUGUUUGUGUCAGAUGCUGAGAGACCCAGCGGUGGACGUCCAGAGAGCAGAGGUG